rnacentral:rRNA from 1 species
GCGUGCCUAACACAUGCAAGUCGAGCGGAAAUAUUGCGAAGUAUUCGUACGGAGCGGUAUUUUAGCGGCGGACGGGUGAGUAACACGUGAGCAACCUGCCUUCAGCUGGGGAAUAACAUUGGGAAACCAGUGCUAAUACCGCAUGACAUCACGAGAGGACAUCCUCUUGUGAUCAAAGGAUUUCGAUCCGGCCGAAGAUGGGCUCGCGUCCGAUUAGUUAGUUGGUGAGGUAACGGCUCACCAAGACCGCGAUCGGUAGCCGAACUGAGAGGUUGAUCGGCCACAUUGGGACUGAGACACGGCCCAGACUCCUACGGGAGGCAGCAGUGGGGAAUAUUGGGCAAUGGGGGAAACCCUGACCCAGCAACGCCGCGUGAAGGACGAAGGCCUUCGGGUUGUAAACUUCUUUGAUCAGGGACGAAAGACAUGACGGUACCUGAAGAACAAGCCACGGCUAACUACGUGCCAGCAGCCGCGGUAAUACGUAGGUGGCGAGCGUUAUCCGGAUUUACUGGGUGUAAAGGGCGUGCAGGCGGGUCAUCAAGUCGGGUGUGAAAUUUCCGGGCUUAACCCGGACAGGUCAUCCGAAACUGGAGAUCUUGAGUGCUGGAGAGGAUAGUGGAAUUCCUGGUGUAGCGGUAAAAUGCGUAGAUAUCAGGAGGAACACCAGUGGCGAAGGCGGCUAUCUGGACAGUAACUGACGCUGAGGCGCGAAAGCGUUGGGGAGCAAAACAGGAUUAGAUAC